UGGGGAAUUUUGGACAAUGGGCGAAAGCCUGAUCCAGCAACGCCGCGUGUGUGAAGAAGGCCUUCGGGUUGUAAAGCACUUUUGUCCGGAAAGAAAUCCUUGGCUCUAAUACAGUCGGGGGAUGACGGUACCGGAAGAAUAAGCACCGGCUAACUACGUGCCAGCAGCCGCGGUAAUACGUAGGGUGCAAGCGUUAAUCGGAAUUACUGGGCGUAAAGCGUGCGCAGGCGGUUUGCUAAGACCGAUGUGAAAUCCCCGGGCUCAACCUGGGAACUGCAUUGGUGACUGGCAGGCUAGAGUGUGGCAGAGGGGGGUAGAAUUCCACGUGUAGCAGUGAAAUGCGUAGAGAUGUGGAGGAAUACCGAUGGCGAAGGCAGCCCCCUGGGCCAAUACUGACGCUCAUGCACGAAAGCGUGGGGAGCAAACAGGAUUAGAUACCCUGGUAGUCCACGCCCUAAACGAUGUCAACUAGUUGUUGGGGAUUCAUUUCCUUAGUAACGUAGCUAACGCGUGAAGUUGACCGCCUGGGGAGUACGGUCGCAAGAUUAAAACUCAAAGGAAUUGACGGGGUCAUAGCUGUUUCCU
rnacentral:rRNA from 1 species